rnacentral:lncRNA from 1 species
UAAUGACCUACGGUGUCACGUAAGAGAAAGACUGCAAAAGGGCCAUUGGCUUUAGACCCAGAGGUCCUUAAUGACUUGUGACCGGAGAAGCUGCAGUGGGAGUGGAGGCAGAGAUUAUUGAGGGAUGGGUGGGAGGUGAGGAAACAGCUGGUCAGUCUGACGAUCUACGUGCAUGAAUUUGCCUGUGAAGGAGAGGAGAAAGGAUGAGAGUAACUGGAGAGAUGUGGGAUUGAGACAAGGUUUUACUUUUACUGCAAAAAGGAGCAUUUUUCUGUUGAUGUGGAGGCUGUAAAGAGGGGCCAGGGAAGGUGCACAUCGUGAUGUGGGUGAGCGAAGGAGGAAAGAAAGAGCACUGCGCCCUGUCCCAGAGCUGGCAGUCAAGAAAUGGUUUAACGUGCUCUCUCGCCAGCUGGGAGGGCUAUAAAUGUCGUUUGGAUGCCUUCCAGGAAUGAGCCAAGGGACACAGAUGGAUUUCGUGGGGAGGUGGUGUUUCUCAUGGCUGCCGGAACACGUGGGAGAUUGUGGUACCCAUCUUCAUCUAGGCCUCAUGUGCCCCCUGCAGUGUGGGGCACCUGGCCAGUGUCUUCCCUCCCUCCAAGAAUCUCUCAAGAGGAAGCAGUAAAGGAAACAUGAUGACAUUCAGCUUACAAAGUACUCUGUGCACCUCUCAUUAAAGAUGCUGCAUAAGUGGAAGCAUUAGUAGUUCAGAAUUAACCAGGCACCGGGGACGCCAUUUAGACUACAGCUGGUACUUUGCAUUGUAAUGUACAAAAAUUGCUGUCAGAGCCGAACUGGGGCUCGUUCAUUGCAUUUUACUUUGAACAAAUGUGUGUGGGCCUGAGUGGGACAGGCUGCUGGGGACUCACCUUUCUGGGCAUCCCUGUGAGGUAAAUGGCACCAUCCAGCUUCCAGGCAUCUGGGUAAGAUUGCCCUACAAUUGAUCAGCCUGCCCCAUCAUUGCAGGAAUCUUCCUAAAAUUUUGUUUCCAGAAGAGACAAAAAAUGAACUGACACUAGGAGCCCACAAUCUUGCUGCCUGCCCUUCUUGGCCUCAGAACACUGGCCGGUCGCCUACUGUAUGCAUGUCCCAAUGUGCUUCACCAACUCGUUCAAUGAUGUUCA